UACGGGGGGGGCAAGCGUUGUUCGGAAUUACUGGGCGUAAAGGGCUCGUAGGUGGCCAACUAAGUCAGACGUGAAAUCCCUCGGCUUAACCGGGGAACUGCGUCUGAUACUGGAUGGCUUGAGUUUGGGAGAGGGACGCGGAAUUCCAGGUGUAGCGGUGAAAUGCGUAGAUAUCAGGAGGAACACCGGUGGCGAAGGCGGGUCUCUGGGCAGUAACUGACGCUGAGGAGCGAAAGCGUGGGGAGCGAACAGG
rnacentral:rRNA from 1 species